UGGGGAAUAUUGGACAAUGGGCGAAAGCCUGAUCCAGCCAUGCCGCGUGUGUGAAGAAGGCCUUAUGGUUGUAAAGCACUUUAAGCGAGGAGGAGGGUACUGGUAUUAAUACUACCAGGUACUGGACGUUACUCGCAGAAUAAGCACCGGCUAACUCUGUGCCAGCAGCCGCGGUAAUACAGAGGGUGCGAGCGUUAAUCGGAUUUACUGGGCGUAAAGCGUGCGUAGGCGGCUAAUUGAGUCGGAUGUGAAAUCCCCGAGCUUAACUUGGGAAUUGCAUUCGAUGCUGGUUAGCUAGAGUGUGGGAGAGGAUGGUAGAAUUCCAGGUGUAGCGGUGAAAUGCGUAGAGAUCUGGAGGAAUACCGAUGGCGAAGGCAGCCAUCUGGCCUAACACUGACGCUGAGGUACGAAAGCAUGGGGAGCAAACAGG
rnacentral:rRNA from 1 species